GUAGGGGGCAAGCGUUAUCCGGAUUUACUGGGUGUAAAGGGAGCGUAGACGGCGAUGCAAGCCAGAUGUGAAAGCCCGGGGCUCAACCCCGGGACUGCAUUUGGAANUGCGUGGCUGGAGUGUCGNANAGGCAGGCGGAAUUCCUAGUGUAGCGGUGAAAUGCGUNGACAUUAGGANGAACACCNGUGGCGAAGGCGGCCUGCUGGACGAUGACUGACGUUGAGGCUCGAAAGCGUGGGGAGCAAACAGGAUUAGAUACCCUGGUAGUCCACGCCGUAAACGAUGACUACUAGGUGUCGGGUGGCAAGGCCAUUCGGUGCCGCAGCAAACGCAAUAAGUAGUCCACCUGGGGAGUACGUUCGCAAGNAUGANACUC
rnacentral:rRNA from 1 species